rnacentral:rRNA from 1 species
UGGGGAAUCUUGCACAAUGGGCGAAAGCCUGAUGCAGCAACGCCGCGUGCGGGAAGACAGCCCUAGGGUUGUAAACCGCUUUCAGCAGGGAAGAAACUGACGGUACCUGCAGAAGAAGAUGCGGCCAACUACGUGCCAGCAGCCGCGGUGACACGUAGGCAUCAAGCGUUAUCCGGAUUUAUUGGGCGUAAAGAGCUCGUAGGCGGUUCGGUAAGUCGGGUGUGAAAACUCUGGGCUCAACCCAGAGAGGCCACUCGAUACUGCUGUGACUAGAGUGCGGUAGGGGAGCGGGGAAUUCCUGGUGUAGCGGUGAAAUGCGCAGAUAUCAGGAGGGAACACCAGUGGCGAAGGCGCCGCUCUGGGCCGUAACUGACGCUGAGGAGCGAAAGCAUGGGUAGCAAACAGGAUUAGAUACCCUGGUAGUCCAUGCCGUAAACGUUGGGCACUAGGUGUGGGUCUCAACCGAACGAGAUCCGCGCCGUCGCUAACGCAUUAAGUGCCCGCCUGGGAGUACGGUCGCAAGACU